ACACGACUACAUUAGAUACCCGUGUAGUCCUGGCCGUAAACGAUGUGGACUUGGUGUUGGGAUGGCUCCGAGCUGCCCCAGUGCCGAAGGGAAGCUGUUAAGUCCACCACCUGGGAAGUACGGUCGCAAGGCUGAAACUUAAAGGAAUUGGCGGGGAGCACCACAACAGGUGGAGCCUGCGGUUUAAUUGGAUUCAACGCCGGACAUCUCACCGGAUAAGACAGCUGAAUGAUUGUCAAUCUGAAGGUUUUACAUGACUAGCUG
rnacentral:rRNA from 1 species